rnacentral:rRNA from 1 species
GACGAACGUUGGCGGUGCGCUUAAUGCAUGCAAGUCGAGGGAGAAGCAUCCGUUCCGUAAGGAUCAGAUGUGGAAACCGGCGAACGGGUGCGUAACACGUGAGAAACCUGCCCCCUUGACCCGGGAUAGCCCGAGGAAACUCGGAUUAAUACCGGAUACUCUCUUUGGACCGCAUGGUCCGUUGAGGAAACAGUCCGCUGCUAGGGGAUGGUCUCGCGGCCUAUCAGGUAGUUGGUGAGGUAACGGCUCACCAAGCCGACGACGGGUAGCUGGUCUGAGAGGACGAUCAGCCACACUGGAACUGAGACACGGUCCAGACUCCUACGGGAGGCAGCAGCAGGGAAUAUUGCACAAUGGGCGAAAGCCUGAUGCAGCGACACCGCGUGCGGGAUGACGGCCUUCGGGUUGUAAACCGCUUUCAGGAGGGAAGAAAAUGACGGUACCUCCAGAAGAAGCUCCGGCCAACUACGUG